CGCGUAGGCGGGAUGUCAAGUUAGGGGUGAAAGGCCUGGGCUCAACCUAGGAACUGCCUCUAAAACUGACAUUCUAGAGUCCGGGAGAGGAUGGCGGAAUUCCCAGUGUAGAGGUGAAAUUCGUAGAUAUUGGGAAGAACACCGGUGGCGAAGGCGGCCAUCUGGUCCGGCACUGACGCUGAGGCGCGAAAGCGUGGGGAGCAAACA
rnacentral:rRNA from 1 species